rnacentral:lncRNA from 1 species
GCCCCCCUAACCUAAACAUGAAGCUCAUCUUCUAGAAGGCCCUCUAGAUGGCAAUGGUGGCAUCCUCCUCCGUUUAUGGUUUCCUCCACGGAACCUUCCGAAUGGCUUAGCAUUAAGUUGUCCAAGGAGUCACUGGCUAUAUGAAUAUAUCCCAUGCCGAACAGCAACCUGAGACUAGAGUUCAAUAGCAACAGAACGCUUGCACGAAAUAUGAUCGACAUCCUCUACCUGUCCAC